UCCUUCCCCUGAUUUUGCAGCAGCAGCACACCUAGGCAGCUCCUUCAUUCUUGAAAUUGUUCCGGUUUUAUCAAGCUUUUUUUCUUUCUUUUCUUGUGUGUUUUGUUGCUCGUUUGAGUUUGUGGAGGAUGAUAGUGUUGAGUCAGUUAUAGGUAAAACUUUAUUACCAGCUGCAGCAUGAGUGACUGAAUCUGUUUUGUGACUGCUGCAGCCUAAUCCUCCAACAAUGUCUUCUUUCUUCAUCUUCAUAGAAUGGAUCCAAUGCUGCCUUCUAUUUUCUAUUCCAACUCUUCUUAAAUUCAGAGUGCUAAGUAGAAGAUGGAAUAAUGUCUCUUGCUUGUUCAGGUAUCACCUUGAAGAGCCAUUGAAAAAUCUGCUACAAUUCAGGGUGAUUUUAGGCAUAAGCUUUGAUGCGAAUGGUAUUCAUUUUAAUUAAUAUUAUGCGUGUAUUUUGCUCACCUGCAUGUUCACCUUGAUAUUUUGAGAGUCCUAAUUAUAUGUAGUGUAAUAGGAGAGUAGAGAUAAAACUAAAGUGGUCAAAUGGGCAGCACUGAAACAUCUAUCUGUGCUGUCUGUAUGCUAAAAGAUUCAUCUCCACACAAAAAGGGUUUUGUGGAGAAGAAGGCACAGAAAAUAUGGAGGUGAAUCUAAGGAAGAUGAAGAGACAACUAGGCAGCGAGUGGAGGAAGAUCAAGGAAAGGAAAAUAACAUGUGAAGAAAAAGCUAGAUAUUCUACUGGCAUAUUAAUAAGAGGGGACAAACAAUAGUGAUUGCAGUACAAAAUAGGUAAGCUAAAUUAUUCUACUGGCAUAUUGAUUCUUAGAUGCUUUGCCUGAAAGGACGGUUUAUAACACUCUAAACCGGAAGGAAAAUGCUCUGUGAUUUCCCUGGGAUCAUCAGUGUAAUUAAUGAUAGCAUUAUUGACCCAAUAAUUUAUAAUUCUAAUGAUUUCAUGUUCACCCUUUUACU